rnacentral:rRNA from 1 species
GGAAUUUUGGACAAUGGGGGAAACCCUGAUCCAGUAAUGCCGCGUGAGUGAAGAAGGCCUUCGGGUUGUAAAGCUCUUUUGUCAGGGAAGAAACAGCAGCUCUAACACAGUCUGCGAAUGACGGUACCUGAAGAAUAAGCACCGGCUAACUACGUGCCAGCAGCCGCGGUAAUACGUAGGGUGCAAGCGUUAAUCGGAAUUACUGGGCGUAAAGCGUGCGCAGGCGGUUAUGUAAGACAGGCGUGAAAUCCCCGGGCUUAACCUGGGAAUUGCGCUUGUGACUGCAUAGCUAGAGUAUGUCAGAGGGGGGUAGAAUUCCACGUGUAGCAGUGAAAUGCGUAGAGAUGUGGAGGAAUACCAAUGGCGAAGGCAGCCCCCUGGGACAAUACUGACGCUCAUGCACGAAAGCGUGGGGAGCAAACAGGAUUAGAUACCCUGGUAGUCCACGCCCUAAACGAUGCUGACUAGUUGUUCGGGAAUUUAUUCCUGAGUAACGUAGCUAACGCGUGAAGUCAGCCGCCUGGGGAGUACGGUCGCAAGAUUAAAACUCAAAGGAAUUGACGG